GACGAACGCUGGCGGCGUGCUUAACACAUGCAAGUCGAACGAAGUGGCGAACGGGUGAGUAACGCGUAAUCAACCUGCCCUUCAGAGGGGGACAACAGUUGGAAACGACUGCUAAUACCGCAUACUGAAGGAGGGGAUUGCGUGUGAUUAGCUAGUUGGAGGGGUAACGGCCCACCAAGGCGAUGAUCCGUAGCCGGGUCUGGAGGGUGAACCGCCACAUUGGGAACGGAGAACGGCCCAGACCCCUACGGGAGGCAGCAAUGGGGAAUCGUCCGCAAUGGAAGAAAGGCUGGCGGGGCAAAGCCGCGGGAGUGAUGACGGGCUUCGGGUUGUAAAGCUCUGUUAAUCGGGACGCGGUACCGGAAUAGAAAGCCACGGCUAACUACGUGCCAGCAGCCGCGGUAAUAC
rnacentral:rRNA from 1 species